CAGAGGGGGCAAGCGUUGUUCGGAAUUACUGGGCGUAAAGGGCGCGUAGGCGGCCUUCUAAGUCGAACGUGAAAUCCCCGGGCUCAACCCGGGAACUGCGUUCGAGACUGAUUGGCUUGAAUCCGGGAGAGGGAUGCGGAAUUCCAGGUGUAGCGGUGAAAUGCGUAGAUAUCUGGAGGAACACCGGUGGCGAAGGCGGCAUCCUGGACCGGCAUUGACGCUGAGGCGCGAAAGCCAGGGGAGCAAACGGGAUUAGAUACCCCGGUAGUCCUGGCCCUAAACGAUGAGUGCUUGGUGUGGCGGGUAUCGAUCCCUGCCGUGCCGAAGCUAACGCAUUAAGCACUCCGCCUGGGGAGUACGGUCGCAAGGCUG
rnacentral:rRNA from 1 species